GUGCUUUGGCCUUCACAGUGUUUUUUUGUUUUUUUUUUUAAAUGUGUGUAAGUUGCCAACACUUAAAAGAAUGAAGAGAUUUCCCAAUUACUAGCUUAAAAAUGUAAGCAUCUGGCAACCCUGGGUUUCCAUCCCCACAUGGUAAUUCCUGACAUGUCCUGUACUCCCCAGGGCCCCCGCCUGCCCCACAUAAGUUUGCAACCCCUGCUUGGAGAAGGAAUCCUGUCUUGAGGCCUUGGGGGCCGGCUCUUCAUCCUAUUCAUGGUUGUGUCUGUGGCACAUAGCUUGAUGCUUGAUAGGUCAUCAGUGCUCAGGAUUAAAAAGAACCGCAUGCUGGUGGGCCAGGCCCAUGGGCAGUUGCCAGUAUGCCUGAGGCUUUGGCUGGGACUUGAGGCCAGCUCCUGCCUUGACAGGAGUCCUCAGGGUCUGCCUCAGGGUGGGAAGGAAGGAGGUAGAAGCAGCUCUUCUCUCCUCCCCAGGACAAAGGCCAUGAUGGGGUCAAGGAGCUGGACAGCCUAAACAGUGACCGAUUGAGAACCGUCCAGCUCAAUGUCUGCAGCAGCGAAGAGGUGGAGAAAGCGGUGGAGAUUGUCCGCUCGAGCCUGAAGGACCCUGAGAAAGGGAUGUGGGGCCUCGUUAACAAUGCCGGCAUCUCAACGUUCGGGGAGGUGGAGUUCACCAGCCUGGAGACCUACAAGCAGGUGGCAGAAGUGAACCUUUGGGGCACAGUGCGGAUGACGAAAUCCUUUCUCCCCCUCAUCCGAAGGGCCAAAGGCCGCGUCGUCAAUAUCAGCAGCAUGCUGGGCCGCAUGGCCAACCCGGCCCGCUCCCCGUACUGCAUCACCAAGUUCGGGGUAGAGGCUUUCUCGGACUGCCUGCGCUAUGAGAUGUACCCCCUGGGCGUGAAGGUCAGCGUGGUGGAGCCCGGCAACUUCAUCGCUGCCACCAGCCUUUACAGCCCUGAGAGCAUUCAGGCCAUCGCCAAGAAGAUGUGGGACGAGCUGCCUGAGGUCGUGCGCAAGGACUACGGCAAGAAGUACUUUGAUGAAAAGAUCGCCAAGAUGGAGACCUACUGCAGCAGUGGCUCCACAGACACGUCCCCUGUCAUCGAUGCUGUCACACACGCCCUGACCGCCACCACCCC
rnacentral:sRNA from 1 species